rnacentral:misc_RNA from 1 species
GACUUGGGUGCUGCUGCUUAACUGUGGCUCGCCUCAAAUGAAGUAGUGCAACUCUCGGUUGGACAUAGUACGGCGUGAUAAGUGUCUUCGCCGGCGCCUCAUUCGAGGGUGGCCGAUCGGGAGCUCUGUGCUUCAAACCGUCUUCGGACAAUAUCUGACAACUUGACCUCAAAUCGAGUAGGACUACCCGCUGAACUUAA